ensembl:lncRNA
CUAUACUUCACUGCUCAAUUAUUGAUUUACAGCAGGCUUAUAAAAGUAUCGAAACUGGAUUGUUCAGAAGAAUUUGGAAAACAACUGAUCCGGGCCUGUGCCAUCUGCCUCUGUCACUGCCGCUGCUGGGCACUGGGAGUCAGUGUGCAUGAGGCAGCCCUCUUCUGCUGCAAGAAGUCAACACACGCUGUGGCCGCUGCAGCUUUUCAGCCGAUGAACAGAGAGCCAUGCCCCCAACCCACACCAUUGUUGUUAUGUUGUGCUGAUCGGGAUGCUCAAGCAAACAUGUUUUCACAACACCACAAAUACUUUUCAGGUAAGACAACCUACAGAUGGUUUACUUAUAGUCAUCUUUGCAUAUUAAACUAGGAUAUUAGGAGGUAUUUUAACAUUUAGCAGUAAUAAAUGUUUAAAAAACAGCUGUUGUGAUACAAGAAUAUUUGUUUUUGUUCACAAAUCAUACACAAAAUAUGCGCCUUACUUUGAAUGUUUGUCUGGCAUGGAAAAUGUAAUUAACAAACCAUGUUUGUGCCAACUUGAGCAGGCAAUAUGCUGUUUACCUAAACCACUAUCUGAG